UACGUAGGGGGCGAGCGUUGUCCGGAGUUACUGGGCGUAAAGGGCACGCAGGCGGUCUGCUAAGUUUGGAGUGACAGUACCCGGCUCAACCGGGUGAGGCCUUCAAAGACUGGUGGACUUGAGGACUAGAGAGGGACAUAGAAUUCCGGGUGGAGUGGUGAAAUGCGUAGAUAUCCGGAGGAAUACCAAAGGCGAAGGCAGUGUCCUGGCUAGUAACUGACGCUGAGGUGCGAAAGCUAGGGGAGCGAACAGG
rnacentral:rRNA from 1 species